CCUACGGGAGGCAGCAGUGGGGAAUAUUGCACAAUGGGGGAAACCCUGAUGCAGCGACGCCGCGUGAGUGAAGAAGUAUUUCGGUAUGUAAAGCUCUAUCAGCAGGGAAGAAAAUGACGGUACCUGAUUAAGAAGCCCCGGCUAACUACGUGCCAGCAGCCGCGGUCAUACGUAGGGGGCAAGCGUUAACCGGAUUUACUGGGUGUAAAGGGAGCGUAGACGGCAGCACAAGUCUGGAGUGAAAUGCCGGGGCUUAACCCCGGAACUGCUUUGGAAACUGGGCAGCUAGAGUGCAGGAGAGGUAAGUGGAAUGCCUAGUGUAGCGGUGAAAUGCGUAGAUAUUAGGAGGAACACCAGUGGCGAAGGCGGCUUACUGGACUGUAACUGACGUUGAGGCUCGAAAGCGUGGGGAGCAAACAGGAUUAGAUACCCCUGUAGUC
rnacentral:rRNA from 1 species